rnacentral:rRNA from 1 species
GGCGGUCAGUAUUUAAAUUAAGCGUCAGGCCUCCCCGGUGUUUAGUAAACGGCCGCGGUAUUUUGACCGUGCGAAGGUAGCAUAAUCAAUUGUCUAUUAAUUGUAGACUUGUAUGAAUGGUUAGACAUAUCUUAACUUUCUUACAUGCUUAGCUGAAAUUAUAUUUGUGUUAAAAAUGGCACAGCGAUUGUUUGGGACGAGAAGACCCUAUUGAGCUUUACAGAUGAUAUACUUAUUUUGUUUUGCUGGGGCGCAGACUAUUAAAACGUUUAUUUGAUUGAUCCACUAUAUGUGAAUAGAAGAUUAAGUUACUGUAGGGAUAACAGCGUAAUGGAGUCUGAGAGUUCUUAUUGAUGAUUUUGUUUGCGACCUCGAUGUUGAUUUAGGAUUCCCUGAAGAAGAAGAGAGUUUGAUGGGUAGUUUGUUCAACUAUUAAAUUCCUAUG